GGCCCCAGUGGAGAGCCAGGGCUCUCAGGGGUGGUCCUAGGGGGAGGAGCAUCAGCACCCCGGGGCCCUGCUGGGAAAGCCAGCUCUCAGGCUCUGCUGAGUCCUCCUGAAUUGGAACCUUAGGGUGGGCCUGGCCAUCGGAGUUUUAACAAGGCCUCCAGAAGAUUCUGACACUCACCAGAGUCUGAGAGACACAGCAGAGCUAGAACCCGGGCUCCAGUUUUCACCCAGGAGACAGGAGGAUUCUGGGUGGAAGGGCAUGAGGGACUGGGGUCCCCCCAGAAGGAGCGCCCCAGGACGAUGCCACACAAGGUGGACAUUCGCUCCUCCUGGGAAUGUUCUCUAAGGGUUCCUUGGACAGGAAAGUGGCUCUCUGAGCUGCCUGGCAUUGGAGAUGCUGGGGGAACGUCGGUCAUGGAUAAGCCCCCAGUGAAGGGACUUAGGAAGCCUCUCCCUCUUGGUGUUCUUUCCCCAGAGAGUCUUCAGAGACUGGAAAUGCUUGCCAGGAAGGAAGAACCACUUUCUGUCCUCCAUCCUCAGGAGCACAGAAGGGUGAAGCUGAGCCCACAGAGAGAAGCAUCUCAUGCUGUCUGCAGCAGCUGCAGCGCUCUCCUGGGGCAGGAGAUGCUCAAAGGUCAACAAGACUUUGAAAAGGGGCUGGGAGAAAAGCCCCCAGUGCUGGCUCUGGACUCACUAUCCCAGGGCUCCUAAAGGGCUAAACAUGACUAGAUUGUAGUGAGCCUUUCCUAACAUGCAAAGAAGCAUCCAGGGAUAAUGUCUAAAUACAGAUGUGCUAUUUCUCUCCUC